rnacentral:rRNA from 1 species
GAUGAACGCUGGCGGCGUGCCUAAUACAUGCAAGUCGAGCGAACGGACGAGAAGCUUGCUUCUCUGAUGUUAGCGGCGGACGGGUGAGUAACACGUGGAUAACCUACCUAUAAGACUGGGAUAACUUCGGGAAACCGGAGCUAAUACCGGAUAAUAUUUUGAACCGCAUGGUUCAAAAGUGAAAGACGGUCUUGCUGUCACUUAUAGAUGGAUCCGCGCUGCAUUAGCUAGUUGGUAAGGUAACGGCUUACCAAGGCAACGAUGCAUAGCCGACCUGAGAGGGGGAGGGGGCACAAGGGAAGUGAGAAACGGUGAAGACGAAUAAGGGAGGGAGCAGGGGGGAAGGGGAAGAAAGGGGCGAAAGACGGAAAGAGUAAAGGCGGGGGAAUGAUGAAGGUAUGCGGAUCGUGAAAAGAUGUGAGCAGGGAAGAACAAAUGUGGAAGAAAAUGUGAAAAACAAGAGGGUAAAGAAUGAGAAAGCAACGGCGAAGGAGGUG